rnacentral:rRNA from 1 species
UAAUUGAAGAGUUUGAUCAUGGCUCAGAUUGAACGCUGGCGGCAGGCUUAACACAUGCAAGUCGAGCGGUAGCACAGGAGAGCUUGCUCUCUGGGUGACGAGCGGCGGACGGGUGAGUAAUGUCUGGGAAACUGCCUGAUGGAGGGGGAUAACUACUGGAAACGGUAGCUAAUACCGCAUAACGUCGCAAGACCAAAGAGGGGGACCUUCGGGCCUCUUGCCAUCAGAUGUGCCCAGAUGGGAUUAGCUAGUAGGUGGGGUAAUGGCUCACCUAGGCGACGAUCCCUAGCUGGUCUGAGAGGAUGACCAGCCACACUGGAACUGAGACACGGUCCAGACUCCUACGGGAGGCAGCAGUGGGGAAUAUUGCACAAUGGGCGCAAGCCUGAUGCAGCCAUGCCGCGUGUGUGAAGAAGGCCUUCGGGUUGUAAAGCACUUUCAGCGAGGAGGAAGGUGGUGA